rnacentral:lncRNA from 1 species
GGCUCUCUGGGGCUCUGGACGUAAAAACCUCUCAUCAUCACCAUCAUCCUCAGACAGAGGCUGUGUCAGGCACCUGAGACCAUGUUUUUCCAUCAGCGCUGAGCAGGGAUCAGACCAAUCCUGCUGCUGAUGACGAUGACCUGGACACCAGCUUUAGUAGUACAGAGCCUGUAGACCCAUUGAAUGAAAGCUUUCAGCAUGGAAUAAGCCCAAUCUCAACAUCACCUGACGUGGAUACAAGCCAUGACAGCCAAAGGAAAAUGCCACGGGCACUAUCUGAUGUGUGGAGACAUUUCACUGCAGCUAAUGUAGAAGGAAAGGCUGUGUACAUUUGCAAAUACUGUGCCAAAUCAUGUGUGAAGAAUGCAACAAAGAUGCAGAAUCAUCUGGCCAAGUGCAUAAAGUUCCUUCAGCGUUCACAACAAGCAACCUCUGACAAAAGUCCCUCUACUUCUAUUCGAGGUCAAAUCAGACACCUUAUCGAUUGCAACAGCUGGAAUCAGAAGUUUUUUGACUCAACGGAGGAACGUAGUCAGAGAAAUGCUGAUGAAUGUCUUGCUCGAGCUGUGUAUGCAACUGGUUCACCUCUGAUGCUCACAGGCAAUGUGUAUUGGAAGAAAUUUCUGAAUGUUCUUUGCCCAGCAUACACCCCUCCAACCAGACAUGCUUUAUCUACUAAUUUGCUGGAUGCAGAGUUCAACAGAAGAGUCAACUCAUUUAAUUAAAGUUCAAUUCAUAACUAAAUAGUUUUUUUUAUUUCUAUUGUAAGGAUUUAAUAAUUUGCAAUUAUGUCUACUUAUCAAGGCACAAGGCGAGACCCAGAUGCAGACACAGGAGGCAGAUGGUUGGAGUCUUACAAUGUUUAUUAAUCCAAAGGGUUAGGCAAAAGAAUGGUUGUGGACAGGCAAAAAGGUCAAAACCAGAUCAGAGUCCAGGAGGUACAGAGUGGCAGACAGGCUCGUGGUCAAGGCAGGCAGAAUGGUCAGGCAGGCGGGUAGAAAAAGGAG